rnacentral:ncRNA from 1 species
CGUGCUCAUGCUACAAGAAAAAGGCUAGGUCAGGCUUCGGCCUGACCAAAAUUCAAGCUGCUAUACCUCUGGCUGCAUUGACUUGUGGUCAGAGUGUAUGGUGAUCAUAGCAAUUGCAAGUAUUGGGCUCGAUAAAUCCUUUGAAGACGACUUAAUUGCAUCCGGGUAUUGUAAGUGUUGAGAGUAGGCUUAGUCUUACGAUCCACUGAGAUUCAUCCCGUGUUGCGCCGAUUUGU